rnacentral:rRNA from 1 species
GUUUGAUCAUGGCUCAGAUUGAACGCUGGCGGCAGGCCUAACACAUGCAAGUCGAGCGGUAACAGAUCUAGCUUGCUAGAUGCUGACAAGCGGCGGACGGGUGCGUAACACGUAGGAAUCUACCCAGUAGCGGGGGAUAGCCCGGAGAAAUCCGGAUUAAUACCGCAUACGCCUUACGAGGGAAAGCAGGGGCCCCGUUCUUUUCGGAGAGUGGACCUUGCACUAUUGGAUGAGCCUGCGUCGGAUUAGCUUGUUGGUGGGGUAAAGGCCUACCAAGGCAACGAUCCGUAGCUGGUCUGAGAGGAUGAUCAGCCACACUGGGACUGAGACACGGCCCAGACUCCUACGGGAGGCAGCAGCUAAGAAUAUUCCGCAAUGGAGGAAACUCUGACGGAGCAAUCUCGCAUGGACGAUGAAGGCCUUCGGGUUGUAAAGUCCUUUCGGCAAGGAAGAAUAAGCUAUUUAGGAAAUGAAAUAGUGUAAGACGUUAUUUGCAGAAGAAGUCCCGGCUAACUACGUGCCAGCAGCCGCGGUAAUACGUAGGGGGCAAACGUUGUUCGGAAUUACUGGGCGUAAAGGGUGCGUAGGCUGUUUGGAAAGUUAUGUGUGAAAGCCCGGGGCCUAACUCCGGAAUUGCAUGUAAAACUACCAAACUAGAGUUGAUGAUAGAGGUAGCAGGAAUUUCUGGUGUAGGAGUGAAAUCUGUAGAUAUCAGAAGGAACACCAAGGGCGAAGGCAAGCUGCUAGGUAUCAACUGACGCUGAGGCACGAAAGCUAGGGGAGCGAAUGGGAUUAGAGACCCCAGUAGUCCUAGCCGUAAACGAUGUACACUAGUUUUAUGGAGAAAGAGGUAACUCUUUUUUUGUGAAACGUAGCUAACGCGUUAAGUGUACCGCCUGGGUAGUAUGCACGCAAGUGUGAAACUCAAAGAAAUUGACGGGGGCUCGCACAAGUGGUGGAGCAUGUGGUUUAAUUCGAUGAUACGCGAAAAACCUUACCUGGGUUUAAACGUCUUGUGCUAGGUGGUGAAAGCCACUGUUCCUUCGGGACACAAGGCGAGGUGCUGCAUGGCUGUCGUCAGCUCGUGUUGUGAGAUGUUGGGUUAAGUCCCGCAACGAGCGCAACCCAUUUCCUAUGUUGCUAACCAUACUUCGGUAUGGAGGACUCUUAGGAUACUGCCUAGGUUUAACUAGGAGGAAGGAGUGGAUGAUGUCAAGUCCUCAUGGCCUUUAUGUCCAGGGCUACACACGUGCUACAAUGGAGUUUACAGAGAGAUGCUAAGUCGCAAGGCCCAGCUAAUCUUCAAAGGACUUCUCAGUUCGGAUUGAAAUCUGCAACUCGAUUUCAUGAAGCUGGAAUCACUAGUAAUCGCGGAUCAGCAUGCCGCGGUGAAUGCGUUCUCGAGCCUUGUACACACCGCCCGUCAAAUCAUCCGAAUCAAUUUCACCCGAAGUUGUCGUACCAACCGCUCUGCGGAGGGAGG